CCCGUCACACCAUGAGAGUCGGGAACACCCGAAGUCCGUAGCCUAACCGCAAGGGGGCGCGGCCGAAGGUGGGUUCGAUAAUUGGGGUGAAGUCGUAACAAGGUACC
rnacentral:rRNA from 1 species